rnacentral:lncRNA from 1 species
AAUUGUUAAUCCAAAUUUGAUAUCCAAAAUUAAUUUUAAUUCACUAUUUCCACUAAAAUUUUAUAAAAUAAAAAAAAUAGAACUAUAUAAUUAUUAUCGGCAACAGCUAUCUAAAUUUGAGUUAGAAUAUGACAGAUAUUUUUUAAUAAAAUAUAACAGAUAAAUUUAUUUUUAAAAAUUUAAACUUUUAUUGUAAAAUUUUUAUUAUAAAUCUUUUGAUAAAUAUAAUUUAUAAAUUUAUGUUAAUUUGAAAUAACUA